rnacentral:rRNA from 1 species
CCUACGGGGGGCUGCAGUGGGGAAUAUUGGACAAUGGGGGGAACCCUGAUCCAACCAUGCCGCGUGUGUGAAGAAGGCCCUCGGGUUGUAAAGCACUUUCAGUGAGGAAGAACGCCUGGUGGUUAAUACCCAUCAGGAAAGACAUCACUCACAGAAGAAGCACCGGCUAACUCCGUGCCAGCAGCCGCGGUAAUACGGAGGGUGCGAGCGUUAAUCGGAAUUACUGGGCGUAAAGCGCGCGUAGGUGGCUUGAUAAGCCGGUUGUGAAAGCCCCGGGCUCAACCUGGGAACGGCAUCCGGAACUGUCAAGCUAGAGUGCAGGAGAGGAAGGUAGAAUUCCCGGUGUAGCGGUGAAAUGCGUAGAGAUCGGGAGGAAUACCAGUGGCGAAGGCGGCCUUCUGGACUGACACUGACACUGAGGUGCGAAAGCGUGGGUAGCAAACAGGAUUAGAUACCCGAGUAGUC